AUUGAACGCUGGCGGAAUGCUUUACACAUGCAAGUCGAGCGGCAGCACGGGGGCAACCCUGGUGGCGAGCGGCGAACGGAUGAGUAAUACAUCGGAACAUGCCCAGUCGUGGGGGAUAACACUUCGAAAGAAGUGCUAAUACCGCAUACGUCCUGAGGGAGAAAGCGGGGGAUCGCAAGACCUCGCGCGAUUGGAGUGGCCGAUGUCAGAUUAGCUAGUUGGUGGGGUAAAGGCCUACCAAGGCAACGAUCUGUAGCUGGUCUGAGAGGAUGAUCAACCACACUGGGACUGAGACACGGCCCAGACUCCUACGGGAGGCAGCAGUGGGGAAUUUUGGACAAUGGGGGCAACCCUGAUCCAGCCAUUCCGCGUGAGUGAAGAAGGCCUUCGGGUUGUAAAGCUCUUUCGGCAGGAACGAAACGGCGAGCUCUAACAUAGCUUGCUAAUGACGGUACCUGAAGAAGAAGCACCGGCUAACUACGUG
rnacentral:rRNA from 1 species